CAACGUAUUGACGUUGCAUUGUUAUUAUGAAUAUUGUUUUCUUGUUUAUAUCUGUUCAAAAAAAGAAAAAAUUAUGAAAUUUAUUAGAUUUUUCAAAUAGUUAAUUAAUUAUUUCUUUACUUAACGAAAAUGUGAAACUUAACAUCAGUAUUGUAACUAAAAGAAGCAAAAUCGAUUGAGUUCAGUUGUUAUAUUUCUCGAAACUGCUUGAAAGUUGGCCAAAUGCUCUAAUUUGGCACUUCACUUUUGAAAUAACGACUAAAUUAGGCCAUUGAAUUUUCAUGAAAUUACGCUAUACACCAAGCUUUGACAAAAAUUAUGAGAAUUGUUUUCAAUGAGACUUGAAAUUCAUAUACACGAGGUAUUAUUAAGCUUUGUUUAAAAGCUGAAUUUUUUUUUUAUUUUUACAAAACUAAUUUAAUUAAACAUUUGAUAAAUUUAAUUAAAAUUCGUUGGAAACUAUUUUAAAUAUAUUUCGUUUUAAAAUCGAAAACUCGUAUGUCAAGUUGUUAAAAUUCAAGCAUCUUAACGUUGUUUUUUUUAAUUUUAUUUUAACAUUAAGUUUUAUUCGAUCUACUUAUUUAGUUUAAUAUGAAAAGGGUUGCGAAGCUCUCUCUCGUUAUCCACAAAUGAACAUCUGGGUCAAUAAGAGCUGUAGGAGAUGAAAGAUUUUUUUUUUGUGGGAUGAGCUUGAUGUCGCUACAACGCAGAAACAGAUUCUUGAUAAUUUCUUUGUUCUAUUUUUAUAAAAUAUUUUAAUAAUUUGUACAUUAAACUUAUCAAGAUAUUUCCGACAAUAUUGGAAAAUAAUGUUUGGUUUUAUCAUGUUCUUCCAAAGAUUUUGGGUUUUUAAGAAAAAGAGAACAUACUUAAUUAAUUAAUUAAUUUUUAAAUUUAAUUAAAUUUUUCUUCUAAAUACAAAUAAUGAUAAAAGGACUAAUGAAACACGUGGAUUUUCUACAAGAGGUGUUAAUUUUAUUUAUGGUUUUUUUUCUGGGGUGUAUACAUAAGGAAUACAGUAUUACAGUAGAUCUUAUGAAUAAUUUUAUUUUAUUAAGGAUGAUCGGAGGUAAGGUCUUUAAUUUAAUAUUCGUGCAACGCUAAAUGAAAAUUAAAUGCUUUCAGUGCGAAAUGACUAUUAUUUAACAAAAACGAUGACAAUGAAGCGUUUGAUUUGAUUUUCUCUUUUUGCUACAGUAUCGAUAAGAAUGAUUCAUGAAUUCGAAAAAGGUUAUCAUAUAUUUCUUUUCUUUUUGUCAAAAACGAGACUUUCCUCUUCUUUUUCUUCUUAUAUAUCUUUAUUUUUAUAUUUAUUUUUUUAAAGAAAUAACACAUUUUAUUUCUUUCUAAUUAGGUGUUAUUUUUUUUUAAUUUAAAGAAUGUAUUUUAACAUCCUUUAGGGAAUAUCUAUUAUCUAUAAUAGAAAUGAUAAUUCAUUAUUAAUUGAUUCAACAUGUUGAUGAUACAAUUAAUUUUUAAUAUUGCAUUUCAUUUUCAUCUUUUAUAAAUAGUUCUAAAGAAUUAUUAACAAUUUUCAAAUUUUCGUAGGAACGAAAUUUUGAAUUUUCAAAUUAAUUCAAAUUUUUGUUGAGCUUAAAUAUAGUCAUUUUUAUUUAUUUUAAAUGACAUUUCCUUUAUCAAUUUUUAACAAUAAACUUCUUUGUUUAGUUGAAAAUUAAGAGUUAUUAACAAAGAUUCAUUUAUUUUAAAUUAGGAAAAUAAUUAAAUUUUUAAUUUAAAAAUUUAAUUAAAAUAUAUCUUAAUUAGGAAUAAAUGAUUAAUUUUGAAUAACUAGUAAUUUAAAUAAAAUGUAUAAAAAGUGGUUAAAUACCAUUUUUUUAGAGAAGAUAUUUGAGAUAAUUUCAUAAUAUUUCUAAAAUUUAAUAAGAAAUUUGUUUUUAAUUUUGAGCACCAGCUCAUUUUUUUUAUGAAUUAUCUCUAUAUGUUAUUUUUUAAAUAUUUUCCAACUUUCACUUCAAAACAAUGUUAAUAUUCUACACUUACAUAUCUCAUCACAACAAUUUUUUUUUGAGUUUGAUUUCAUGAGAACGGUUACGUACAAUGUGCAACUGUUAUAAAAUAAAAAAUUAUCUUCUUCACUUUCACAGUUCUUUUUCAAUUUUUUUUUUUCAUAACACAUUUAUUUCUCUUAUAAUACUUCUUAUAUUCAUUUUUCGAUAAUUUGCACCAUGAACUUUGUUUAAUGACGUGCAAAUAAAUGUUAUGUUUUCGCUGGAAAGAAAAAAUAUUAAAAAAAAAAAGAAAAUUAAUUUUUGGAGCAAUAUCAAAUUAACUAGGAAUCUCAUUGAGUUUAGUUAAAAAAAUGUUUCGCAUUUAGUUUUAUUUCUUAAAUUCUAAAUUUUUGCUUGAGAUUCCUUUUUUAGUUGACAAGAGAAAGACAAAAGUGUGAUUUAUGAAUAAUACGAAAAGCUUUCUUUGAAAAAUUGAAGACAUUGUAAAAAACGGCAGUAAUUGGCACACUCGUGUGUUUAAUAUGUGGUGUUUAUAUGUAAGGCAAUAAACCUUUGGGUUUUUUUUUUGUUUAAUAUUUAUAUAUAUGUAUAAGUGUAAAAAAGAUUUAUGUUUUUCAGGAAUGUGGAAAUAUUUUUUGUUAUAAAGAAGACAUAUUCUGUGUGCAUCACCGUCGAAAAGGAAGCCAAGAACCGAGAAAAAAAAAUAUAUAUCUAUAUUAUAUAGGAUAAGAAUAAAAUUUCUCUCAAUCGGAAAGGAAAACAUUUUUGUUUUUAACUGCCAUGAUUUUAUCGAAUAAUCUGACUUUUUUUUUAAUUACUUUGAGCUUCUACGGUUAUUCGAGAUGAGGGGGGAGGGGGGGGGGAAAUUCAAAGAGAAGAGAAGGAUCGGACAACUUUGGAAUUAAUUUUUUUUUUUCAUUUGUGUCACAGCCAAGACUGGUGUCGCAAAACCUGUUUUUUUUGUGUGUAUGUGGUAUUCUAUCAAAAUAGACAUAUCACUCGCGAAUCCCGAGUCUUCUCUUUAAGUUUCAAGAGACUAUAUUCUCACGGCUUGGAGAGAUUUAAUACGAUUGAAAAAAUAGCUUUAAACCAUUGCUAAAUACUAUACAAAUCUGACAAACUCGUCAAUUUCAAUUCUCCGUUUAUUUUUUAUUUAUUUAUUUUUUUUAAUACUUACAUAACAACUCUCGACUUUCUCGAAUCUAGUCAUGCAUAUAUAUUUUUUUUAAUUGUUUAUUUGUGUGACUUGCGAGAAUAUUCAUUGAAUCGAGACGUCGUUCAGAUAAUAAUCUUUGCGCGAUAUAAUAUCCUAUAUUUUCUGUCUUCGCUUAUACUUUCCAACGCUACAGCACCUACGAUCUCUUUUUUUUUUUUUAAUUAUAAAUAAUUUCUAUCGGAAGAAAAUAGGUGAAUAUUUUGGAAAUAUAAUAUUUUUCUUUUUUUUUUUUGUACGGGUGAAAUCAUUUCGAAUCGUUUUUCUUCAAAAGGGACGACCUAAUCAAGAACUUUUAUUUUAAACAGAAUGUCCUAUCUAUAAAAAGAUUAUAUUUUUAAAAUAUAAUUUUUUUUCGAAUAUUUGGAAAUUUUUUUGUUAAUAUGGAACGGGGGAAAAAAAGUUCGUGAAUAGAAAGGACUAACCUUUUGAAGAGUUCCUCUAUACGAUCUUCACGAAAUGAUUAAAAAUUGUCUCUUUCUACUUGCAAACUAUAUAAUGUUUGGCGAUAAAGAAAAUUUUUCUGACGACCCUGUUUUAUUUUUCUCGUUUAAAGGUGCAAUUAGAAUUUUUGUUUUUCUUAUUAGCAAGCACUCAUGGUUGAUUUAUCUACACUGAAUAGAGAAAGAGAGAGAUAGAGGGAGAGAGAGAGAGAGAAAGAGUGAGUGAGAGAAUUUUUGAGAGUCCAAUGCACUACAAGAAGGAUACUAUCAUCUUGAUCCUGUCACCUGAAAAUUGUUUUUGGAAGUUCAGUGGACGGUGAAG